CCUACGGGAGGCAGCAGUGAGGAAUAUUGGUCAAUGGACGAGAGUCUGAACCAGCCAAGUAGCGUGCAGGAUGACGGCCCUAUGGGUUGUAAACUGCUUUUAUAAGGGAAUAAAGUGAGCCUCGUGAGGCUUUUUGCAUGUACCUUAUGAAUAAGGACCGGCCAAUUCCGUGC
rnacentral:rRNA from 1 species